rnacentral:misc_RNA from 1 species
GAUGAAGAACGUAGCGAAAUGCGAUACUUGGUGUGAAUUGCAGAAUCCCGUGAACCAUCGAGUCUUUGAACGCAAGUUGCGCCCGAAGCCAUUAGGCCGAGGGCACGCCUGCCUGGGUGUCACACACCGUUACCCUCGCGCCAACGUCCAUCGUUGGCCGCGGCGCGGGGCGUGCGCUGACCUCCCGCGAGCGGGGUCUCGUGGUUGGUUGAAAAUCGAGUUCGCGGUCGAGGGUGCCGUGAUGAAAUGGUGGAUGGGCGACGCCCGAGGCCAAUCACGCGCGACUCUGUCCGGCUNNNACUCCUGGACCCCUUCGGCGUCUCCGGACGCUCUUUGGCGAGACCUCAGGUCAGGCGGGGCUACCCGCUGAGUUUAAGCAUAUCAAUAAGCGGAGGA